rnacentral:rRNA from 1 species
UGCCAGCAGCCGCGGUAAUACGGAGAGUGCAAGCGUUGUUCGGAAUUAUUGGGCGUAAAGCGCGUGUAGGCGGUUCGUUAAGUCUGAUGUGAAAGCCCGGGGCUCAACCCCGGAAGUGCAUUGGAAACUGGCGAACUUGAGUACGGGAGAGGAAAGUGGAAUUCCGAGUGUAGGGGUGAAAUCCGUAGAUAUUCGGAGGAACACCAGUGGCGAAGGCGGCCUCCUGGUUCAAUACUGACGCUGAGGUGCGAAAGCGUGGGGAGCAAACAGGAUUAGAUA